rnacentral:rRNA from 1 species
AGGCUUAACACAUGCAAGUCGAGGGGUCUUGAUAGAGCUUGCUCUUGAUAGACGACCGGCGCACGGGUGAGUAACGCGUAUCCAACCUGCCCUUCAUAUUGGGAUAGCCUUCCGAAAGGGAGAUUAAUACCGAAUAACAUGUAAAAGUUGCAUGAUCUUUACAUGAAAGCUCCGGCGAUGAAGGAUGGGGAUGCGUUUCAUUAGGUAGUAGGCGGGGUAACGGCCCACCUAGCCAACGAUGAAUAGGGGUUCUGAGAGGAAGGUCCCCCACACUGGAACUGAGACACGGUCCAGACUCCUACGGGAGGCAGCAGUGAGGAAUAUUGGUCAAUGGCCGGAAGGCUGAACCAGCCAAGUAGCGUGAAGGAUGAAGGUUCUAUGGAUUGUAAACUUCUUUUAUACGGGAAUAAAACCUCCCACGUGUGGGAGCUUGAAUGUACCGUAUGAAUAAGCAUCGGCUAACUCCGUGCCAGCAGCCGCGGUAAUACGGAGGAUGCGAGCGUUAUCCGGAUUUAUUGGGUUUAAAGGGAGCGUAGACGGGAGAUUAAGUCAGUUGUGAAAGGCUGCGGCUCAACCGCAGCACUGCAGUUGAUACUGGUUUCCUUGAGUUCGGUUGAGGUGUAUGGAAUUCGUGGUGUAGCGGUGAAAUGCUUAGAUAUCACGAAGAACUCCGAUUG